rnacentral:rRNA from 1 species
GAUGAACGCUGGCGGCGUGCCUAAUACAUGCAAGUCGAGCGAACGGACGAGAAGCUUGCUUUUCUGAUGUUAGCGGCGGACGGGUGAGUAACACGUGGAUAACCUACCUAUAAGACUGGGAUAACUUCGGGAAACCGGAGCUAAUACCGGAUAAUAUUUUGAACCGCAUGGUUCAAAAGUGAAAGACGGUCUUGCUGUCACUUAUAGAUGGAUCCGCGCUGCAUUAGCUAGUUGGUAAGGUAACGGGUUACCAAGGCAACGAUGCGUAGCCGACCUGAGAGGGUGAUCGGCCACACGGGAACUGAGACGCGGUCCAGACUCCUACGGGAGGCAGCAGUAGGGAAUCUUCCGCAAUGGGCGAAAGCCUGACGGAGCAACGCCGCGUGAGUGAUGAAGGUCUUCGGAUCGUAAAACUCUGUUAUUAGGGAAGAACAUAUGUGUAAGUAACUGUGCACAUCUUGACGGUACCUAAUCAGAAAGCCACGGCUAACUACGUG